rnacentral:rRNA from 1 species
GACGAACGCUGGCGGCGGGCUUAACACAUGCAAGUCGAACGGAAAGGCCCUGCUUGCGUGGGGUGCUCGAGUGGCGAACGGGUGUAUAACGCGUGAGUAACCUGCCCUUGAGUUUGGUAUAACCUCAGGAAACUGGUGCUAAUACCAGAAAGGCGCACCUCAGCCAUGUGGGGUGUUGGAAAGUUUCGGAGGUAGGGGAUGGCCUCGCGGCUUAUAAGUGUGUUGGUGGGGUAGUGGCUUACCAAGGCAUUGACGGGAAGCGGGCCUGAGAGGGGGACCGGCAACAUUGGGACUGAGCUACGGCCGAGACUCCUAAGGGAGGCAGCAGUGGGGAAUAUUGCACAAUGGGCGGAAGCCUGAUGCAGCAACGCGGCGUGCGGGAUGACGGCCUUCGGGUUGUAAACCGCUUUCGCCUGUGACGAAGCGUGAGUGACGGUAAUGUGUAAAGAAGCACCGGCUAACUCCGUG